UUGAACGCUGGCGGCAGGCCUAACACAUGCAAGUCGAGCGGUAGCACAGAGAGCUUGCUCUCGGGUGACGAGCGGCGGACGGGUGAGUAAUGUCUGGGAAACUGCCUGAUGGAGGGGGAUAACUACUGGAAACGGUAGCUAAUACCGCAUAACGUCGCAAGACCAAAGUGGGGGACCUUCGGGCCUCAUGCCAUCAGAUGUGCCCAGAUGGGAUUAGCUAGUAGGUGGGGUAACGGCUCACCUAGGCGACGAUCCCUAGCUGGUCUGAGAGGAUGACCAGCCACACUGGAACUGAGACACGGUCCAGACUCCUACGGGAGGCAGCAGUGGGGAAUAUUGCACAAUGGGCGCAAGCCUGAUGCAGCCAUGCCGCGUGUGUGAAGAAGGCCUUCGGGUUGUAAAGCACUUUCAGCGGGGAGGAAGGCGAUAAGGUUAAUAACCUUGUCGAUUGACGUUACCCGCAGAAGAAGCACCGGCUAACUCCGUGCCAGCAGCCGCGGUAAUACGGAGGGUGCAAGCGUUAAUCGGAAUUACUGGGCGUAAAGCGCACGCAGGCGGUCUGUCAAGUCGGAUGUGAAAUCCCCGGGCUCAACCUGGGAACUGCAUUCGAAACUGGCAGGCUAGAGUCUUGUAGAGGGGGGUAGAAUUCCAGGUGUAGCGGUGAAAUGCGUAGAGAUCUGGAGGAAUACCGGUGGCGAAGGCGGCCCCCUGGACAAAGACUGACGCUCAGGUGCGAAAGCGUGGGGAGCAAACAGGAUUAGAUACCCUGGUAGUCCACGCCGUAAACGAUGUCGAUUUGGAGGUUGUGCCCUUGAGGCGUGGCUUCCGGAGCUAACGCGUUAAAUCGACCGCCUGGGGAGUACGGCCGCAAGGUUAAAACUCAAAUGAAUUGACGGGGGCCCGCACAAGCGGUGGAGUAUGUGGUUUAAUUCGACGCAACGCGAAGAACCUUACCAAGGCUUGACAUUGAUUGAACGCUCUAGAGAUAGAGAUUUCCCUUCGGGGACAAGAAAACAGGUGGUGCAUGGCUGUCGUCAGCUCGUGUUGUGAAAUGUUGGGUUAAGUCCCGCAACGAGCGCAACCCUUAUCCUUUGUUGCCAGCGGUUAGGCCGGGAACUCAAAGGAGACUGCCAGUGAUAAACUGGAGGAAGGUGGGGAUGACGUCAAGUCAUCAUGGCCCUUACGACCAGGGCUACACACGUGCUACAAUGGCAUAUACAAAGAGAAGCGACCUCGCGAGAGCAAGCGGACCUCAUAAAGUAUGUCGUAGUCCGGAUUGGAGUCUGCAACUCGACUCCAUGAAGUCGGAAUCGCUAGUAAUCGUAGAUCAGAAUGCUACGGUGAAUACGUUCCCGGGCCUUGUACACACCGCCCGUCACACCAUGGGAGUGGGUUGCAAAAGAAGUAGGUAGCUUAACCUUCGGGAGGGCGCUUACCACUUUGUGAUUCAUGACUGGGGUG
rnacentral:rRNA from 1 species